GAUGAAGAACGCAGCGAAAUGCGAUACUUGGUGUGAAUUGCAGAAUCCCGUGAACCAUCGAGUCUUUGAACGCAAGUUGCGCCCGAAGCCAUUAGGCCGAGGGCACGCCUGCCUGGGCGUCACACGUCGUUGCCCCCCCAUCUACUCCUUCGGGAUUGCGGGGGGCGGAUGAUGGCCUCCCGUGCGCCUUGUCGCGCGGUUGGCAUAAAUGCCAAGUCCUCGGCGACGCACGCCACGACAAUCGGUGGUUGCGAAACCUCGGUUGCCCGUCGUGUGCGGUCGUCGCGCAUCGAGGGCUCGAAAAAAUUGCCGAGUUCCGGCUCGGCUUUCAACGCGACCCCAGGUCAGGCGGGGUUACCCGCUGAAUUUAAGCAUAUCAAUAAGCGGAGGA
rnacentral:misc_RNA from 1 species